rnacentral:tRNA from 1 species
GGGGAUUUAGCUCAGUGGUAGAGCGCUUGUCUAGCAAGCACAAGGCCCUGGGUUCGGUUCCCAGCUCUG